CGUAGGGUGCGAGCGUUAAUCGGAAUUACUGGGCGUAAAGUGUGCGCAGGUGGCUGAGCAAGUCGAGAGUGAAAUCCCCGGGCUUAACUUGGGAAUUGCGCUCGAAACUACUUGGCUCGAGUGUGGCAGAGGAAGGUGGAAUUCCAGGUGUAGCGGUGAAAUGCGUAGAGAUCUGGAGGAACACCGAUGGCGAAGGCAGCCUUCUGGGCCAACACUGACGCUCAUGCACGAAAGCGUGGGGAGCAAACAGGAUUAGAUACCCUGGUAGUCCACGCCCUAAACGAUGAUGACUAGUUGUUGGGGGAGUUAAAUCCCUUAGUAACGCAGCUAACGCGUGAAGUCAUCCGCCUGGGGAGUACGGUCGCAAGAUUA
rnacentral:rRNA from 1 species